UAAGCCAUGCACGUGUAAGAUCGUCUUGAAUAGCAAUAUUUACCGGCAAUCUGUGGAAAGCUCAUUAUAACAGUUACAAACUUGGCUUUCUAGCUUAAAGUUAUAAGGAUAACACAGUCAAAUGCAGUGAUAAUACUUGAACCAAAGCUAAUGAAUUGUAUAGUUAGCGAACAAUAGCGAGUAAGGGAAAAUACGCUAUAGCAUCUUUUUUGGAUCGAUUGACCUCUUUGAGGCCUAGGAGAAGUAUUUCUUACUUAUCAUGCUAGUUGUUUCAGUAAGGGUGAAACAAGGCCGUCACGGGUACGGAAAAUUGGGGUUUGACACCGGAGAGGGAGCCUGAGAAAUGGCUACCACAUCUAAGGAUGGCAGCAGGCGCGAAAAUUACCCAAUCCUAACAUUUGGGAGGUAGUGACAAGAAAUAACGUCCUUCCAUUCAUGGAAGGGUACCGCAAGGUUUGGAAUGGUUCUAGUUCAAAUUUCUAUUAGAGUAACAAUUGGAGGACAAGUCUGGUGCCAGCACCCGCGGUAAUUCCAGCUCCAAAAGCAUAUACUAAAAUUGCUGUAGUUAAAACGCUCGUAGUUUAUACAAGGGAUGUAAUUUGUAUGUUUCAGAUUAUUGCUAGUUGUUGGCAAACCGUUUAUCGAUUUGUUAAUAGCCAAGCGUAGUCUUUGCUUGGUCUCCAAGUAAGCACGUUAGUGCCAAGGGUUUUGGGUCUCUUCUUACCAAAAAGUCUUGGCAUGUGUGGGGCAUAGAUUAUGUUCUGAUUCGAACCGUGAACAAAUUAAAGUGUUUAAAGCGGGCAUUGUACGUUCUUUGAACGUUUUGCUUGAAUAAUUUAGCAUGGGACUCAAUUUCCUUGCAAAAGGAUAAGAAAAAGGAGCCAGGAAGAGGACUCUGGUAUUGCGCGUUUAGAGGUGAAAUUCCGACAUCUUCGCAGGACGAACGGAGGCGUAGGCUGUCAUUGCCCAUCACAUCUCUAUUGAUCAGGAACGAAAGUCAGGGGAUCGAAGAUGAUUAGAUACCGUCGUAGUCCUGACCGUAAACGAUACUAACUCGAGUUUGUAUGUAACAGUUUUUCAAAAAUUGAUACAGAAUCCAAGGGAAACCGUUAAGUCUUUGGGUUCUGGGGGGAGUAUAGUCGCAAGGCCGAAACUUAAAGGAAUUGACGGAAAGACACCACCAGGAGUGGAGUUUGCGGCUUAAUUCGACUCAACGCGGGAAAACUCACCAGGAUAGGACAGAAUGAGGAUUGACAGGUUGAAUAUGGUCCUUUCUUGAUUUUUUGGAAGGUGGUGCAUGGCCGUUCUUAGUUCGUGGAGUGAUCUGUCUACUUAAUUGUGUUAACGAACGAGACCUUAACCUGUUAACUAGGCACUAGUUGAAUUUUAUUCAUGGGUUUCUUACGAAAUCUAGGUCAUUCGGGUUUUUAAUCCGAGCUUCUUAAAGGGACAAUACUGUGUAUUUUAUAUUUUAGCGUAGGGAAGUUUAAGGCAAUAACAGGUCUGUGAUGCCCUGAGAUAUCCUGGGCGGCACGCGUACUACAAUGUCAUUGACAACAGGCUUUCCGCUUCGGCGGGCCUCUACCAAAAUGUAGGGGAAAACGUGUCAAACACUUAUAUGACUGGGAUAGCUGUUUGUAAUUACAUCUUAAACGAGGAAUUCCUAGUAAGCGCAAGUCAUCAUCUUGCAUUGAUUACGUCCCUGUCUUUUGUACACACCGCCCGUCGCUCCUACCGA
rnacentral:rRNA from 1 species